UGACCAACAUAGUGUAGAUAACACAAUAAGCUGUAGACUUAGAGAUGCUAAUGCUUUGGUUUAGUCGG
rnacentral:tRNA from 1 species